GACCGACGUUCAAACAGUGUGAUAUAUAAAUGUGGGUACCAGCUGCAUACAGAUUACUGGGACGUCUGUUGCUUCCACACUUCUAUGCUGUCUGCUGUGCCAUGCAGUCCCUAGUUUCUCCUGUCACCAAAGCCAUUUUUAUCGCUCUGUUUCUCUUCGCUAUCUUACUAAUACUCUAUGUCAUCCUCUGGUAUAUUUGCAGAGACGUCGAUAAUGAUUAUAUUUAACAUUAGCAAGGUCUGGGACCGAGGAGUAGUGCAUAGACAAGUGAUAAAGAUGAAGACCCUACACCAACGAAUGUUUCCACAACUGAUAAAAAUCUCAGAAGAAGAUUGCAUUAGACAGCCUUUGGGACCAAAAUUGAUUUUUUCGUCUGACGCAAAGGAAUGAAAUUAAAUUUGCUCAAGAACUGUGGACAUAUUCACUGACAGUGAGACAUUUUGAAGGAAAGAUGGGACAGGACAAACCUGAAGUGAAGAGGAAGAUGGCGACUGUGCGG